UUGUCCACGACUUUGUCGGAGCCUAAGUAGUCAUCACAGCCAAUGCUCUGCAAAAAGACAGAAAACAAAAGACUCAUAGUAUGUAUCAGGAGCAUGCAGAGGAAGGAAGGGAGAAGAUCCCUGGGCAAGAAAUUUCUUUUCUAGCUAUUUACGAAAUGUAUAUUCUAGGAGUGGGGUGGGAGCCACAGACGGUAAACCAGACAAGUAAAUAAAACAGAGUUUGUUUGUUCUUGAGACACAUAUUCUCCAAAUCACAGGCUUGUCCUCUUUCUUGAAUUCUAAGUGCAAUAAUCAGACCACAUCUCUAGGACAAAGUGAGCAGCAAACCAGUCAAAGUCCACUUUUGAUUUUGUUAUGCAACCCUGGGUCUCUUCAGGUAGGUCCUAUAUUCAGCGGAACUUGUCAAGAAUCUUGUUUGCCAGAUUGAAGAAUUAGAUUUUCAUCCUAUGGCAUCAGCAACCCCCAGAUGUCUGGAGAAGGGGAGAGCCAUGCUCAGACUUGCUUUUCGGUGGUAACAAUGACUGCAGUGUGGAGCGGGCCUUACCUAGAGUGGAGACAAUGAACCGUCCAGUGAGUCCCUCUCCUGUAACUAGGGUGUCAGAGAUAUUUCAAGAAUGAAUGAGAGUCGCCAAAGAUGGGACAGACGUCACAUUAAUCACAUUAAUCCUCAGCCCCAGCCCAGUUAGAAUGGAACUAUCACAAGGAAAUUACACUAGCAUGGAUAGCUUCAGAUAACCACAGACACAGACAAAAUGUUAUUUGAUCUUGUGAAUCAGACAUUAUAUGAAAAUGCUCUGCA
rnacentral:lncRNA from 1 species